AACGAACGCUGGCGGCAUGCCUAACACAUGCAAGUCGAACGAGACCUUCGGGUCUAGUGGCGCACGGGUGCGUAACGCGUGGGAACCUGCCCUUAGGUUCGGAAUAACUCCCCGAAAGGGGUGCUAAUACCGGAUAAUGUCUUCGGACCAAAGAUUUAUCGCCUUUGGAUGGGCCCGCGUUGGAUUAGCUAGUUGGUAGGGUAAAAGCCUACCAAGGCGACGAUCCAUAGCUGGUCUGAGAGGAUGAUCAGCCACACUGGGACUGAGACACGGCCCAGACUCCUACGGGAGGCAGCAGUGGGGAAGAUUGGACAAUGGGCGAAAGCCUGAUCCAGCAAUGCCGCGUGAGUGAUGAAGGCCUGAGGGUUGUAAAGCUCUUUUACCCGGGAUGAUAAUGACAGGACCGGGAGAAUAAGCUCCGGCUAACUCCGU
rnacentral:rRNA from 1 species